AGUGAGACACUACAACAUGCAAUACCUGGCUGCGUUAAAGCUGUCCAUCUCCACGUUAAUUCCAUGUCCAUUCCGCAGGAUUCACUGCUCCAAGCUGCUGGCGACAAGAAGCGUUGACCAUUGCCGCAAUAAAUUGAGCUGCAUGGCUUCCAUAACCACGCCAUCACCUUGUGAAACCACCAUCAGAUAGCUCUGAUCAAAAGGUUUCCUUGACUUUACCUUCUCCGUCGUUCCCUAACAAAAUUGCAAUUUUGUUACCAUUGAAGACACGAGGCUGAACUUGAACACUUAUAUAUAUGUAUGACUUUUACCUGGAACAAAUCAACUAAAGCCACCAGCUGCCGAGUCUAUUAGACUUCUUCAAGAAGCGCAUACGAUAUUGAAUACCAAAUAGGUGCGAGACAGAUUGCGGCAGGUCCUACAUGGAAAAUCCUGAAUGUAAUCACCUUAGCAAACAUGUAAUUUGUUACGUGAAAGUUGCACGAACAUCGAACCCCCGUCGAUCGGCCAGCGUUGAGACACGUGGGAUGUCCUCUUGGAUAUCUGUAUUAAUAAAUUUGACUUUUACAACAAAGGCUGGACGUAGUAGAUGUGUGCAAUCCAUUGUUCCACGAUGAACAUAGUCUAUCAUACAGCCAUCUAAUGCAAAUAACUUACCAGGGAAAUUUUUCAAGAUAAUAUUAAUUCUGGUGAACUUGCUCGGAUGAUUUUCGUGACACCAUUCAAUUUCUUGUACGCAACUUUUACAAGCAUCUGUAGUGUAGUGGUUAUCACGGUUGUCUCACACACAACAGGUCCUCAGUUCGAUCCUGGGCAGAUGCAAAUAAUCAGAUUUUUAGUAAAACGAUGUAAGAAACCAA